rnacentral:precursor_RNA from 11 species
AGUCGACUCAAAACUCGGUCGGAUUUCGUCGAUGAGUGGGGAUCGUUAGUCGCGUUGAAAUUUCCUCAUGUUCGUGACUAGAUCUGACACUCGUCCACGACGUCAACCAAAAAUCACCCCAUGUGAG